rnacentral:rRNA from 1 species
ACCUAAUAGAUACCCAGGUAGUCCACGCCCUAAACGAUGCGAACUGGAUGUUGGGUACAUUACGGUACUCAGUGUCGAAAGCUAAACGCGUUAAGUUCGCCGCCUGGGGAGUACGGUCGCAAGACUGAAACUCAAAGGAAUUGACGGGGCCCGGCACAAGCGGUGGAGUAUGUGGUUUAAUUACGAUGCAACGCGAAGAACCUUACCUGGCCUUGACAUCUGUCGAAUCCUGCAGAGAUGCGGGAGUGCCGCAAGGAACGACAAGACAGGUGCUGCAUGGCUGUCGUCAGCUCGUGUCGUGAGAUGUUGGGUUAAGUCCCGCAACGAGCGCAACCCUUGUCCCUAGUUGCCAGCACAUCAUGGUGGGAACUCUAGGGAGACUGCCGGUGACAAACCGGAGGAA